AUUGAACGCUGGCGGCAGGCCUAACACAUGCAAGUCGAACGAGUGGCGGACGGGUGAGUAAUGUCUGGGACACUGCCCGAUGGAGGGGGAUAACUACUGGAAACGGUAGCUAAUACCGCAUACCAUCGGAUGUGCCCAUAUGGGAUUAGCUAGUAGGUGGGGUAACGGCUCACCUAGGCGACGAUCCCUAGCUGUUCUGAGAGGAUGACCAGACACACUGGAGCUGAGACACGGUCCAGACUCCUACGGGAGGCAGCAGUGGGGAAUAUUGCACAAUGGGCGCAAGCCUGAUGCAGCCAUGCCGCGUGUAUGAAGAAGGCCUUAGGGUUGUAAAGUACUUUCAGCGUGGAGGCGUUACCCGCAGAAGAAGCACCGGCUAACUCCGUGCCAGCAGCCGCGGUAAUAC
rnacentral:rRNA from 1 species